rnacentral:rRNA from 1 species
AGAGGACGAUCAGCCACACUGGAACUGAGACACGGUCCAGACUCCUACGGGAGGCAGCAGUGGGGAAUUUUGGACAAUGGGCGAAAGCCUGAUCCAGCCAUGCCGCGUGAGUGAAGAAGGCCUUCGGGUUGUAAAGCUCUUUCGGCGGGGACGAAAUAGUCCGUGCUAAUACCAUGGAUCGAUGACGGUACCCGAAGAAGAAGCACCGGCUAACUACGUGCCAGCAGCCGCGGUAAUACGUAGGGUGCAGGCGUUAAUCGGAAUUACUGGGCGUAAAGCGUGCGCAGGCGGUUUGUUAAGACAGAUGUGAAAUCCCCGGGCUUAACCUGGGAACUGCGUUUGUUACUGGCAAGCUCGAGUGUGGCAGAGGGGGGUGGAAUUCCAAGUGUAGCAGUGAAAUGCGUAGAUAUUUGGAGGAACACCGAUGGCGAAGGCAGCCCCCUGGGCUAACACUGACGCUCAUGCACGAAAGCGUGGGGAGCAAACAGGAUUAGAUACCCUGGUAGUCCACGCCCUAAACUAUGUCAACUGGUUGUCGGGGGAGCAAUCCCUUGGUAACGAAGCUAACGCGUGAAGUUGACCGCCUGGGGAGUACGGCCGCAAGGUUAAAACUCAAAGGAAUUGACGGGGACCCGCACAAGCGGUGGAUUAUGUGGAUUAAUUCGAUACAACGCGAAAAACCUUACCUACCCUUGACAUGUACGGAACCUCGCAGAGAUGUGAGGGUGCUCGAAAGAGAACCGUAACACAGGUGCUGCAUGGCUGUCGUCAGCUCGUGUCGUGAGAUGUUGGGUUAAGUCCCGCAACGAGCGCAACCCUUGCCAUUAGUUGCUACAUUUAGUUGGGCACUCUAAUGGGACUGCCGGUGACAAACCGGAGGAAGGUGGGGAUGACGUCAAGUCCUCAUGGCCCUUAUGGGUAGGGCUUCACACGUAAUACAAUGGUCGGUACAGAGGGCAGCCAACCCGCGAGGGGGAGCUAAUCCCAGAAAGCCGAUCGUAGUCCGGAUUGUAGUCUGCAACUCGACUACAUGAAGCCGGAAUCGCUAGUAAUCGAGGAUCAGCAUGUCGCGGUGAAUACGUUCCCGGGUCUUGUACACACCGCCCGUCACACCAUGGGAGUGGGUUUCACCAGAAGUAGUUAGCCUAACCGCAAGGAGGGCGACUACCACGGUGAGACUCAUGACUGGGGUGAAGUCGUAACAAGGUA